rnacentral:rRNA from 1 species
AUGUCCAAGUCGCCCGCCGCCGAUCAGUCCUCCUCAUCGGCCGCCGCGAUGACCACGUCCUCUGCCCUCGCCCUCACCGUGUCCGCCCCCGUCAUCGCGCCACCAUCGGCAUCGGCUCCCGCUCCCAUCCUUCCGCCCAUCGCGGUCUCUCUCGACCGCAGUAAUUUCAUGCUGUGGAGGGCUCUCGCUCUCCCCAACUUCGCCGGCGUACGCCUCCACGGGUUCCUCGAUGGCUCGGCCAAGGCGCCGGAGCCGACCGUGACGACAGGCACCGGUGACACCGCUCGUACCAUCACCAACCCCGAAUACGAGCAGUGGUGGACUCUUGAUCAAAAGGUCCUCGGGCAUCUCCUUGGCUCCAUGAGCAUGGAGAUAUCCGCGCAGUUGAUCGGCUGCAGGACGGUGGCUGCUGCAUGGGCUGCUGUGCACACCAUGUUCACCGCCGAGAACAGCGCCGGCGUGCGCAACCUUCGGCGCCAGAUCCAGGCGCUACGCAAAGGAGAUAGACCCGCCGGCGAGUACAUGCAGAAGGUUAAAUCUCUCGCCGACUCGAUGGCCGCCGCCGGUUCUCCUCUUCGUGAUGACGAGAUCAUCGACUACAUGCUGACCGGGCUCGGCUCGGCGUUCAACCCCAUCGCUGCUUCGAUGAACUUCGCCGGCGUGCCGAUCACGUUUCCGGCGUUCUACUCCAACGUCCUCCACUACGAGGCCCUACAGCAGCAGCAAUCGGAAGUUGAGGACUGGCAGUCCUCCGCAAACGCCGCCUCUCGGUCGGCCUACCACGAUCACGCCGGUCGUGUGCCCGAUUUCGGACGCCCAAGUGGCGGCCGCUCCUCCGCCGCCUCUCUUCCGCCUGGAUCGGUGAGCUACGGCUCCGCCCAGGGCGGUGCCCCUGGCCGUAACAACGGCAACACCGGCGGCAACGGCCGCAAUGGAGGAGGCAAUGGGGUGGCCGCCGUCGCUGGCGCCCUAGGUGCCAGAUAUGCAAGAACUGGGGGCAUGAGGCGACGGACUGUCGCGGCCGCUAUGACCGCGACCACCGCGCCGCCAACUCUGCCUCCAACUCCACCUCCACGCAUGAACCACCGCACUGGAUCCUGGACACCGGUGCGACGGAUCACCUGA